rnacentral:ncRNA from 2 species
CUCUUAUCAAGAGUAGCUGAGGGACUGGCCCAAUGAAGCUCGGCAACCAUCUAUUAAAAAUAGAAAGGUGCUAAAUCCUGCAAAACAUGAAUGUGUUUUGAAAGAUAAGAG